GGUUGAUCCUGCCAGUAGUCAUAUGCUUGUCUCAAAGAUUAAGCCAUGCAUGUCUAAGUAUAAGCGUUUAUACAGUGAAACUGCGAAUGGCUCAUUAUAUCAGUUAUCAUUUACUUGAUGAUACCUUACCACUUGGAUAACCGUGGUAAUUCUAGAGCUAAUACAUGCCUUAAGGGCCACCUUACUUGGUGGUCUGCAUUUAUUAGAUACAAACCAAUGCCAGCGAUGGCUCUUGGUGAUUCAUAAUAACUUGGCGGAUCGCAUGACCUUGCGUCGGCGACGUAUCAAUCAAA
rnacentral:rRNA from 1 species